ACCGUGCAAAGGUAGCACAAUCAAUCGUCCUCUAAAUAAGGACUAGUAUGAAUGGCACCACGAGGGCAUAACGUCUCCCUAUUCUAAUCAAUGAAACUGAUCUUCCCGUGAAGAAGCGGGAAUAUUAUUAUAAGACGAGAAGACCCCAUGGAGCUUUAAACUAAUUGCCACCUGUCUUCUUUAGAUCAAAAAAUUUGACAGCCCUGUUCUAACAAUAGUUUUCGGCUGGGGUGGCCUUGGAGCAAAACAAAUCCUCCAAGCUGAACGGAAUAAGCCCCUUAUCCUAGAAUUACAAUUCAAAAACUCAAAAAUUUGACAUAAUUGACCCAAUAAAUUGAUCAACGAACCAAGUUACCCUGGGGAUAACAGCGCAAUCCAUUUCAAGAGCCCCUAUCGACAAAUGGGUUUACGACCUCGAUGUUGGAUCGGGGUAUCCUAGCGGCGCAGCCGUUGCUAAAGGUUCGUUUGUUCAACGAUUAAUAACCCCACGUGAUCUGANU
rnacentral:rRNA from 1 species